UACGGAGGAGGCAAGCGUUAUCCGGAAUUAUUGGGCGUAAAGCGUCCGUAGGUGGUUUAGUAAGUCUGCUGUUAAAGCGCGGGGCUUAACUCCGUAUCGGCAGUGGAAACUACUAGACUAGAGUGUGGUAGGGGUAGAGGGAAUUCCCAGUGUAGCGGUGAAAUGCGCAGAUAUCAGGAAGAACACCUAUGGCGAAGGCAGCCCUCUGGGACGGUACUGACGCUGAGACGCGAAAGCGUGGGGAGCGAACAGG
rnacentral:rRNA from 1 species